rnacentral:rRNA from 1 species
GUGGGUAACCUGCCUCAAAGAGGGGGAUAGCCUCCCGAAAGGGAGAUUAAUACCGCAUAACAUUAUUUUAUGGCAUCAUAAAAUAAUCAAAGGAGCACUCCGCUUUGAGAUGGACCCGCGGCGCAUUAGCUAGUUGGUGAGGUAACGGCUCACCAAGGCAACGAUGCGUAGCCGACCUGAGAGGGUGAUCGGCCACAUUGGAACUGAGACACGGUCCAGACUCCUACGGGAGGCAGCAGUGGGGAAUAUUGCGCAAUGGGGGAAACCCUGACGCAGCAACGCCGCGUGAGUGAUGAAGGUUUUCGGAUCGUAAAACUCUGUCUUUAGGGACGAUAAUGACGGUACCUAAGGAGGAAGCCACGGCUAACUACGUGCCAGCAGCCGCGGUAAUACGUAGGUGGCAAGCGUUGUCCGGAUUUACUGGGCGUAAAGAGUAUGUAGGUGGGUGCUUAAGUCAGAUGUGAAAUUCCCGGGCUCAACCUGGGAGCUGCAUUUGAAACUGGGCAUCUAGAGUGCAGGAGAGGAAAGUGGAAUUCCUAGUGUAGCGG